AAAAAUCUUAUUCAAACCAUGGCUAAAGCUUCACUGAUUAUGCUUUUCCUAGCCACCAUAUUGAUCUUUUCAUCUGGUUAGUCUCUUUCUCUUACUAAAUCACCUGCUCACAAACACAUAUAGUAAUUGAAUCAUAAAUUUGUAAACUUACAAAAUUUUAAUUGAAAAAAAAUUUGUUAGAGUUUUUACCUUAUAAUAUAUGGUGGUUCGUCCUUCGGGAUGGCUCUUUGAGGGUGGUUAUCCACACGGAUGAUUCACAUUCGAUCCUCCUCAGGCCUCAAUGCCUUCUCAUUUGAGACUGUCGCACAGGGCUUGCCUAGUGCGUUUUACAUCCCCUAUGUGGUUUGCACGCUAUUACAUCGUGGAGGGUUUACCCAGUGCGCACAAAAUGCUCGCCAUAAAGUGCUCACCCAAAGGGCAGAGGCUGUGGUAGAUAUUGUAGCGGCUGCAGGUUAUUCUAGGGUUCCCAAAAAUAUAUAUGUGUGUGUGUGUAUGGUGGUUCUGAGUUAUCAAUAGUAAAUGCGAUAGUAGUUAUUAUUUUCAAUUUUUAUUAGAAUGCAUAAUCACAUUGGCUCUAGCCAUACAAUUAACUUUCAAUUUCUUAUUUUGUACAAGGUGCUAAUAAAUAAAAGUUUUUAAUUUUCAGAUGUUAUGAUGGAACAAGUGGGAGGGCCAUGUACUCCACAAACAGGUUGUAUAUGCAGAGUAGGAGUUCCAGAAUGCAUCAAUGGUGUGUGUACUUGUUGUUUUACUCCAACAUGUACUGUUAAACAAGAAAGCAUUGGUCGAGACCGCAAAGUAUUGACCUUGCAAUACUCUUUUAAUUAGUUGUUUGAGCUACUCAG
rnacentral:lncRNA from 1 species